CCCUACGGGACGCAGCAGUGGGGAAUUUUGGACAAUGGGCGCAAGCCUGAUCCAGCCAUGCCGCGUGUGUGAAGAAGGCCUUCGGGUUGUAAAGCACUUUCGGCCGGAACGAAAUCGCGCGGGUUAAUAGUCCGCGUGGAUGGCGGUACCGGAAGAAGAAGCACCGGCUAACUACGUGCCAGCAGCCGCGGUAAUACGUAGGGUGCGAGCGUUAAUCGGAAUUACUGGGCGUAAAGGGUGCGCAGGCGGUUCCGCAAGUCAGGCGUGAGAUCCCCGGGCUUAACCUGGGAAUGGCGCUUGAAACUACGGGACUGGAGUAUGGCAGAGGGAGGUGGAAUUCCACGUGUAGCGGUGAAAUGCGUAGAGAUGUGGAGGAACACCGAUGGCGAAGGCAGCCUCCUGGGCCAAUACUGACGCUCAUGCACGAAAGCGUGGGGAGCAAACAGGAUUAGAUACCCCCGU
rnacentral:rRNA from 1 species